AGGUGAAACUAAAACAUACAAACAAAGAAUAAUCAGCACCAUGCAGCUUGAAACACGUACUGUGAAACAACUUAAAUGUGUCAGUUCAAUCCCUCAUAUCAAUUCAAUGACAUAGCUUUUUGCUGCUUUUUACUGCUUACAGGUCUUACGUGUUUAUUUAUUUUUAACAACAAUGUAAAUAUUUGAACCCAUCAAUUAUUUAUUUAUGUAUCUGUUUGUAUUUGAGUAUAUCAACUUAAAAUGGCCUAGGAGCAAUGCAGUCGCUCAUAAUUCGUUACACGGUAAAUUUAAACGUCGCAAAAAUAGAAUUUAUCUAGGAAAAUAAUCAUGUGCAAUCAUAGACAAUAAAACAAAUCAAUACAUACCCACAAUGCAACCAAAGGCAUAAGAUGUAUGUAGAUGCUGCAGGAUCAGCUCAAGAUAAAAUAAAACUGCAGCUCUAAAAAGCUAGACUCACUGACUCCCUGCAUACGGGUCACAUGACUCCUCCCGCAACCAACAUCCUGCAAUUUUCGAAGUGGCCACAUGGAGAUACGAAAACUAAUCAUAACAGAACAACAACUUUAUAAGAUGAUAUGAUCUUUAGCAUACAGGCUAUAACAGGAACGUAAAUAAACCUCCCAAAUGUCAAACUUUACCUUUGAAGAAUUAUGUCCGAGAUCUUGUGAACAAAUUAUGUAACGACAACAUUGUUCUCAAUUUCUCUUAAACGUAUAUUUGGUACUGCAGUUUGAUAUCAGUGUGUCGAUGUAUCAGUCUAACAUGAAAUGCUUAUCAUUUGCUUAACAAGUUUAUGUGCGUGUGCAGCGUAAUAUAAGAGUGUGCGUGUUUAUUGCGUACAGUGUGUGCUGCUGCUGCUAUGAGCUAAACUGGAAGUACAAGAUGUUUUGUUAUUCUAGAGCUGUUCACAAACAACUGCAUCCUUGAUAUCAUUUUACAUCUGGGGAAAAAAGUAAAAACAAAAAGGGUUUGGUUGGAAAAAAAAAACAAAAAACUGGUCUGGCCUGUAAAAGCAGCACCCCCUUUCUAUUGUUCUGUGUGUAGCAAUGGGCAGCAGAACUUUUUUUUUCUUUUCUGGGAAAGUCGUGCUCUGCUGUUACAUCAGGAGAGGCAGAGGAAAGGCUAUAAACGGCAAGUGUUCCAGGUCCAUUUUCAACAAUCUAGGCCAGUCACUCUGACGUAAAAGCCGGCGAGAAAACAGGGGAGCUGUUGCAUCGCUCACCAACAUGUAGAAGUGGAUGUGGUUGAAGAGAAAAAGUGUGUGCAAGUGUGUUUGUGUGUAAAGAAAAAAAAAACCCAGCAUCAUCAUCAAGUUCAUAUCAAGCUCAGCUUUCUGAGAAAUCUGAGCCUUCUGUGGGUUGUUUUCGUGAACACAACCCAAGAUCUUGUAUGAUCACCUUGUAACCCGGGGACUUCCUCCUGCGGAGUGAACUGGUAUGGCCGGUCUAUUUGGUUCCAGUCGCUUGGGAGACUGGUGCCAUAAAGAGUGCCCCCACCCCACCCUCCUCAUGCUUUUGCUCAACAAAGAGAGAUGACAGACUGAGAAACUCUCCCAGAAACGGAUGUACAAACUGACAGGAAUGAAUCCACAAGCAAAUACGGACGUGUCAGUAGCAGGGGUCGCAUUGAUUGGUUUGUCUUCUGCUCUCGGUCUGAUUUUCUAUUCAUCUCGCUGACCUCACAACUGUUUCUCUAACCCUCCCCCUCCAUCUCUCUCACUCGGUCUCACCAUCCCUUCUGUUGCCUUGGGGAUGUAUCUCACUUUAGCGGGCUUGCAGGGUGAUGGGUGUGAGAGAGUGUCAAGGGAAGAGGAAGAAGAGGAGGAGGAGGCGGUGAGAGCGUGCCAGGCGGUAAACAGAUGACGACAGACCGGUCAGAGUUUGUUGCCACGGGCUGCACUGACACCGAGGACCAGGAUGAACUUCCUGUGGCUACUGUGACCUCAGAUAAGAGCUGGACGCUUUGACCCUUGACGUAGAGAAAUUCCCAGCCUUCCUCUGAACUUCAGUGCUGGUUCAAGUGGUUAAAAAAAAGAUCUCACCCCCGCGGACCAGAUUUCUUCCCCAUCUCAUGGUUUAAUUGCCGUGACCAGCAGACAUAUGGACGGUGGGCUGUUGCCAGAAAAUGUUACAUCUUUGUUAAGACCAGACCUGAUGUUCCUGCAGCUCUGCCAAAUGAGAAGAACUGGAGGAAAAUAACAAACAUACAAAGUACGUUGAGGACAAAUACUGUAAUACCGACUUAUUUUUUCCUAAAUCUCAUUAUAUCGACACCCGCUGUCUCUGUCUCUCUUUCCCUCCCCUCCCUCGUCUCCUCUUUAAUAAAGAUGUGGGAGGUUUUCUCCUCCAUUACCCGUGCCCUGCUGAGGUUUCAUUUCACGUCCUCCCCAGGCCGGUUGUAUGCCAAAGCAGCUCAGUGCCAGGCCAUACUCUUCCUGCCAACUCACCCUCUAUCCUGCAGGCUGCUUAACAAUGCAAUCUGCCGCUCACCUCUGACCAGAGCAGCUCCAUUCACAGCCUGGAAGAAGGCACGCAAUGCAGUGAGAGACUCAAGAAGAGUGUAUGCCACAGGAAGGGAGUACAGUGCUGUGGUGGUUCAUAAAAAGGUGAGGGUUGAUCCAUCAUAUCAGACAGUACAACCAUAUAUAUAACUGGCCAAACUGACUUGAAGUUUGGUAUUAAUAUUCAUAAUCCCCAGAGGAUGAUUCAAUAUAAUUUUGGUGAUCUCCUAAAGUUUUGUUUAGCAUCACGGACAGGUCAACGAAUUCCCAUGAACCCUUGACCGACAGUUUGGUCUAAAUUAACCAUCUUAAUGAAAUGUCCUUAAAAUUUGCUUUGGAUAUUCAUGAUCCCCAUUUCCCUUCACAUCACAAUUAAGUAGGGAUGGAUUGGUUUCUGGUUUUUCUGGUCCGGUCGAGUGAACAGGCUUAGGCUGGUUUGAUUUUGUGCAAACGGACUAACCCAGCAUUUGUCAUUACGAGCCACAUUAAAAAGAGACAAGAAGCAGCUCUCACCGGUGUUAGCGGUGUCUUUAUGGUACAUUGUGAACUAGUUUGAGCCCAUCAUUUUGAUUUUUCAGUAUCUCUAAUAUAACCCUAUCGCUGACAACUCAUGUCACUCAUGCUUAUCACAUCUGUUUGCUGGGUUAGCGAUCACAAUCAGUUAUUUAGCAGAAGUAUGAAGCCUUGUUUUGACCCACUUUCAUUCAUGCAUCCUGUUAAAGUAACUGAAUAAAACUGUUAAUACAAACGCAUCACUUAUGUUAAUAUGGCAUGGCAAAAUUUGGUACUACCAGUCCAGACCAGUCUUUAGCUUAAUAUCAAACCAGUUUGAAAAUCUUCAAACAGAACUAAAAUUUUUAUUGGUCACAUUACCAUUAAGUUUAAUGGCCACAUUCUUUCUCAGAGGAUAGACCCUAUAAGCCAAAAUAACACAAUUCUGGACACAGAAUGAUUGAUUAUGACAUGUCAAAAGUUUUGACACAUCAAAAGUUUUGACAUAUCAUAAUCUAAGAGGGCUGAUUUACAUGAAAUUUAGCAUGUACGUUCAUACUCAAAGCAACCCUGUAGCCAUAGUUGGAGCAACAGCCUCAAGACAAAGGUUGACAUUUUUUGCCCCAAUAAUGGUAAGGCUCUAAGAAUAGCUCAACAGUAAUUCUGUUGGUUUUUUUUUUUUUUUUUUUGGCUCUUUUGGGUGUAAUGGACUUGUAGCCUCUUGAUAACAUUAGUAGGACUUCACAGUAUGAUGCCAUAGAAGAAUCCAGUUUCAAUAAAAAUGAAUGUCAGCCAGAGAAGGUGAAUAUACUCUACUUAAUUAUUGAUUAAUCUGACGUUCGACAGAUUUUUACUUCGCUGCUCCCCUGGAUAAUACAUUCUGUCAGAUGGCUCACUGGGCCUUUCAUGAACUCCUUUGAGACCAAUCUUUCCAUGUCCAUUUUCUAUCCCUUGGGAAGGCCAGCGUUUGCUAAGGAAAUAUUUGAGGGGGUGUCCAUUCGCAAAGCUGUUAUGAAAGUCUUGCGACCGGCCAAGAAAGUUUGAGGGCAGCCGGCCAGAGAGAUGAUGACUGUGGAUAACAACCAUGGAACUGGAACAGACACAGCACUAGACAAACAAAAGCCUGUGUCACUACUUUUAUAGUGAGCGGAGGGUAAACAGAUUUCAUAAUCAAAUGCGCACUUGCCCAACCUACGCGGACACUGACUCAUUUAUACUGCAUGUUUGCAUUAGUUUCUGGUGGAUCUGGCAGCAGAGGCAGGAUGACGAUUCUGCAGUCGACAGCAGUAACGAAGAAAGUGAUCGCUCAUUAGUUUCUUUGUUCCUGUCUCAGUCUUUCAUCCGUCUGUGGUUUUCCUGCCCUGUCCCCUCUUCUUUCUCUCUCUCUCUCUCUCUCUCUCUCUCUCUCUCUCUCUCUCCCCCUCUGCAGCGGUGUAAUGUCUGCAGCUCUCGCCCCUCUGCUGCCACCUGCGUCACUUCCCUUCCUGGUCGACUGUCAUGUAAACACAAGUACACCCUGGCUCACAGGCGUGCUCUCACACAAGAGCAGAACACACGCUCGCAGCACACUCACACUCACACACAAACACAAACAUACACCCAGUCACAUGGGAACUGCUAAUUAUGACCACAUAAACCCAGCGGAAAUACAACCUUCACAGCUGGCUGUUUGAGCUAUGCUCACAUUGAGGCACAUAAUUCACCAAAAAAAAAAAAAAAAAAAGCAGAAAUACGCACCAUUUACUUCAAUUAUUCAGCAAACGCAUGCCGGAUAGGAAAAAAAAAAAAGAAAAGUAAUGGGAUCAUUU